UCCGCCAUGGUGUAGCGGUAACAUAUGCGCCUCUCAAAUGUUCCGAUCACGUGAGUUUAGUCAUGUGCUUAGUUCGCGCGUGCCCGGGGUUCGACUCCCCGUGACGGAA